AACGAACGCUGGCGGCGUGCCUAACACAUGCAAGUCGCACGAGAAAGUUCUUCGGAACGAGUAGAGUGGCGCACGGGUGAGUAAUGCAUGGGAUGACGUACCUAACACUGGGGGAUAACUGUGGGAAACUGCAGCUAAUACCGCAUAAGAUCUACGGAUGAAAGGUGGCUUUUUCGUGAAGCUAUCGAUGUUAGAUCGGCCCAUGUCCCAUUAGCUAGUUGGCGGGGUAAGAGCCCACCAAGGCGAUGAUGGGUAGCUGGUCUGAGAGGAUGAUCAGCCACACUGGAACUGAGACACGGUCCAGACUCCUACGGGAGGCAGCAGUGGGGAAUUUUGCACAAUGGAGGAAACUCUGAUGCAGCAACGCCGCGUGAGUGAAGAAGGCCUUUGGGUUGUAAAGCUCUUUCAGACGGAAAGAAAACGCAUCGGUGAAUACCCGGUGUGGAUGACGGUACCGUAAGAAGAAGCACCGGCUAACUACGUGCC
rnacentral:rRNA from 1 species